GCGGCCCCGGCGUGCGGCGGGCAGGCGAUACCAAGUGUGGGGAAGGGAGGGGUUCUCCGCGAGCGGGACGCCCACUCCGCGCUGUGUCGGCGCACCCCGCCCCGCGGCCACCCCUCCGGUGACUGCGCUGUGAGGGGCGACCUCGGCGCGGGGGCGGGGCCGGCCUUGCGGCGCUGGGCCUUUGAGUGGAAGGCGGGAAAUGGCGGAGGCUUCAGGCCGCGGCGCGGGGAAGCCCUCUGCAUCCGGGCCUGGUACCCCCGGCGGCUCCAGGGCCAGAGGGAAAAGGGCACAAGGUGGGAGAGUAGUGGAGUCCCGCUACCUGCAGUACGAGCGGAAGGCAGCCAGAAAGGUGAGAAGGCUUCCCUGUGUGGGGCGGGGCGGGGCGGCUUGGCCGGCGGCGCGGGGGUGGGUCCUGCCCGGGCCUUGAGGCCGAGGCCCCCUGUGCAGAACCAGAGUGGCUGCUGGCGGGGAUCGCUGAAGAACGUCCUCCUGGCAGCUGUCAGGGGCCCUGUUGGGAGGCUGCGGUGCUCUCUGGAACGCUGCACGGAGCCAGCCGGCCCCUCCCGCCUUCCAGUCACCGCCAGCACAGGCGCCCCUGUGUCCCGUGACUGUCCCCGCGGACAGAACUGCUUGUUCUGUGCACGCGGACGCCGUGACGCCCUCGGGCCCGCCGUCGCCGUGAAGGACGAGCCGCCAGAAUGGCCAGGCCCCGCAGGGGAGCUCCUCCCUGAGUGUUGCGUGUCCGUGACAGGCUCCUGCCGCGGACGCUGCUGUCAGAGCUGGCGGGAAGGUGGCGGAGGGCGUGAGGAGAGCCAGCCAGCUGCCCAAGGGCUCAGAUGGCAGUGGUGUGGGCCAGGGCGACCUGCAGUCCACCUUGCUGGAGGGGCACGGCACUGCACCGCCCGACCUGGACCUCUCAGCCAUCAACGACAAAAGCAUGGUCAGGAAGACACCUCAGUUAGAGAAGACGCUGUCACGGAAGCCUAAGGCGACAUCCUUCACGGCCCCGCCGAGGAAGAGCCCGGACUCCCUGGAGGUGGUGGAGGUGGUGGUGUCCCAGACGUUACUGCUGACCCUGCUGACGGUGCAGGUGUGGACACGGCUGCGGCCUGGGCAUGGGAGGGAGGGGCCUCAGUGUCUGUGGCUGAGCUCCGCUUUGCCCUACAGAUGGAGAACGGGCUGGCACGGCUGGAGGAGAAGGCGGAACGGAGCCUGCUCGCCAUGUGCCGGGAGCAGGCCCGGCUGCAGCAGAAGGCCCACGAGCUGAGGCGCGAGCUGCUGCUCCGGCAGAGGCGCCGGGAGCUGGGAGGCAUACUGGACGCCCAGGUGGGCGUGCGUGGUGGGCGCAGCCCUGCCUGUGCAGUGCUGAAGGGCACCUGGCCCGAGCUGGGAGGCCUGGGUGCGGACUUCAUCUGAGACAGGGUCUUUCUUGGUGCCCAGGCUGGGCUUGAUCUUGCGAUUGUCCUGCCUCUGCCUACAGAGUGCUGGGGUGAGAGACGUGGCCACCGUACCCGCUUCACCUUCCCCUUUGUGUCGGGACCGGGACCGCAGCCUCGGCCUCGCCUUGAGGGGGUGGCACAUCCCGCGACACCGGCGGGGUGUCGGUGUGAACUGGUGGGGGUGCAGCUGCAUCCAGAGCGCCCAGCACAUGCCCUCGGGUGCCUGGCGGUCAGGCAGCUCCCCGUCUCUGUCCCUGGAGCACAGGUGUCCCCACAGACCCCCGCCGACCUGGGCAGGGGCCGCCCUGACGACGGCCUUGGGGCGAUGUCCAGGCCUGAGCUGUGUGGGGGACCGGCCUUCCCGGCUCGCCACCCGCCAGCACAGUGCGCUCUGGCCGUGCGCUGCCUGCAGGGGCUUGGAGGGGCAGGCCGGCGCGCAUCCCUCCGUGUGUGCGCUUAGUUCCAGACCGAAGCAAGGCCAGCCCUGCCAGUGAGCUGCACCCGGCCCUGCGGCCCCCUAACCCCACACACGGCGUGGGGCUCAGCGGCAAGCCUGGUCUCACAGGGUCCCUCCCCACAGGUGGAGACACUGCGCCCCUUUGAGGCGGUGGCUGGGCGCUUCCAGGAGCGGUACAGGACGCUGGCCACAGCCCUGGACACCACCCGGCACGAGCUGCCCGUGAGCGCCAUCCACCUGGAACGCGACGGCCGGCAGCUGCUCGGUAGGGUGAAGGCCGCUCACAUGCCCUGGAGCCCGGGCGGGCGGGUGGGCAAGACCGCAGGAAUGAGAUGGCAGCCAGGCGUGGGGCGGGCGGGUGUCCUGGCCUGCUGCAGGCGCUAGGCCCCUGAGCCUGAUACCCGUCCUCCCCAGACAGCCUGCAAGCCGAGCUGACAACCACCCAGCGCCUUCUGGCUGAGCUGGGCCUGGGCGACAGCGAGGAGCAUGGGCAGGUGCUGGCCCUGUUGGCCGAGCUCAGGGACGUGACCACGCAGAAGGACCACGAGCUCCGGAGGUGGCCGUGACACUGGGACGGGGGUGGCUCCGCUCCCAGGGCAGAGGGGCAGCCAGCAGGGGUCACUGUCACAUGGUAGCCCAGAGAGUGCAUGGUCCCAAGCA
rnacentral:lncRNA from 1 species